UACGGAGGGAGCUAGCGUUGUUCGGAAUUACUGGGCGUAAAGCGUGCGCAGGCGGUGAGCUGUGUCCGAUGUGAAAGCCCCGGGCUUAACCUGGGAAUGGCAUUGGAAACUGGCUCGCUGGAGUGUGGCAGAGGGGGGUGGAAUUCCACGUGUAGCAGUGAAAUGCGUAGAGAUGCGGAGGAACACCGAUGGCGAAGGCAGCCCCCUGGGCUAACACUGACGCUCAGGCACGAAAGCGUGGGGAGCAAACAGG
rnacentral:rRNA from 1 species